CAUGCAUGUUAUCAGACCUUAUGGAACCACUCCUCUCAACCCACACCCUUACAAAUAUAAACAUCCCUCUAUAUUUCCACUGAGGACAAAAACAGCAGGAAAUGAGCUCAAAUGGAUUUAGGCUACAUUCUGAUUUUAAGCAUUGUGAGCUACCAAAACACAAAUCAGGAAAAAAAAAGUCAGUCAACUAUCUUUCUGAAGGCAGAGUGAGGAAGAAUACCUCAGCUGUGCAAAGCUACGGCAGGGAACUUAAGGAGACAGAAUGCAAUUACCUAAGUUGAAACCUGAUUCAGAAAAAAAGUUGUUUCUCUUCUCUUGCUGAAAUAGACCCAGGCAAACAGGGUUAAGCGAGUAGACCGAAGUCACACAGCUAGCAAGAGGAUGAGGCUGGAUUUGAAGUUGUGUCUUCCUGAUUCCAAGGCUAUCUGCCUCUAUCACUUUGUUAAGUCAACAAUCAACAAAAAAACAAUAAAUCAAGCCCUGGUUUGUGGCA
rnacentral:lncRNA from 1 species